rnacentral:misc_RNA from 1 species
AAGUCGUAACAAGGUUUCCGUAGGUGAACCUGCGGAAGGAUCAUUAGUGAAUAAAUAGGGUGUCCAAUUUAACUUGGAACCCGACCUUCUCACAUCUAACCCUGUGCAUCUGUAUUUAAUGGCGAGCAAUUUUCGGAUUGUGAGCCAUUUCACUUUAUAAACACUAGUCUAUGAAUGUAAAAUUUUUAUAACAAAUAAAAA